AUGGUGGUUACUCAUGUGCAGGACAUACAGGAGGUGAAAUAUGCAGAUGCAGAUGGUGGUUACUCAUGUGCAGGACAUACAGGAGGUGAAAUAUGCAGAUGCAGAUGGUGGUUACUCAUGUGCAGGACAUACAGGAGGUGAAAUAUGCAGAUGCAGAUGGUGGUUACUCAUGUGCAGGACAUACAGGAGGUGAAAUAUGCAGAUGCAGAUGGGGGUUACUCAUGUGCAGGACAUAGUCUUCUUUUGAACUGUUCGUCCCAGACACAAUGCACAAAGUCAUUCUGGACUGCACUAAUUUGGAGGGAAGGCGUG
ensembl:lncRNA